rnacentral:rRNA from 1 species
AUCUACGGCUAUACCAUCCUGAAUGCACCUGAUCUUGUCUAAUCUCAGAAGCUAAGCAGUGUCAGGCCUGGUUAGUGCCUGGAUA